CUUUAAAUUUUGUAAAAAUGUUUCUUUCAUUUCUUUAAAAAAAAAAAAAAUUAAAACAGAUGUUUCAAAAUAUUGCAAACAGUGUCUCUUUACUGUAUGUGUUAUCCUUCACAAAACACAUGCAACACGUGACACAGGUACUUUCACAGCGUGAUGUUUUACACACACACACACACACAAAAUAAUUUGGUACAUGAUAAAAAAAACAGCCUAAAUUGCUAAAAAAUAAAAUUGUACAUAAUUUAGAAAUCUGUCGAUUUGAGUUGAAUUUUUCUUUUUAUGUUUAGAUAUUGUUCAUAGACUACAAUGUCAGACACGAACAUUUCACUCAAACAUAUUCAAUACAGAAAAGCAAAAGUAUUCAAAGUGAAACUAGAAACAAGCAGAAAAAGGUUGAGAACACAAGAAAUGAAACGAAUCUUCUUAACCCUUUAGACGCAUCUGGUAAUUUAGCCUCUUAACACUAGCAUUGUAAAUCCAUUUUGUACGCACUCAUUGUAAAAAAGCUCAGCACUUUAAGGGUUAAAAGACUUUUUUGUUACGGUACCAUGUUAUUUUACUGCCUGCCUGCCCCAAACAAAUUUGUACCCUAUACAAUUCUAUUUGAAAAAAAAAAAAAUCUCAUGGAAUGCAAAGAUUUGAACUAUUACAACUUUUGAUCCAUAUUUUAUGCAAGUAAAAAAAAAAAAAAAAAAAAAAAAA